GAUGAGAACGUAGCGAAAUGCGAUAAGUAAUGUGAAUUGCAGAAUUCAGUGAAUCAUCGAAUCUUUGAACGCACAUUGCGCCCGCCAGUAUUCUGGCGGGCAUGCCUGUCCGAGCGUCAUUUCAACCCUCGAACCCCUCCGGGGGGUCGGCGUUGGGGAUCGGCCCUGCCUCUUGGCGGUGGCCGUCUCCGAAAUACAGUGGCGGUCUCGCCGCAGCCUCUCCUGCGCAGUAGUUUGCACACUCGCAUCGGGAGCGCGGCGCGUCCACAGCCGUUAAACACCCACCUUCUGAAAUGUUGACCUCGGAUCAGGUAGGAAUACCCGCUGAACUUAAGCAUAUCAAUAAGCGGAGGA
rnacentral:misc_RNA from 1 species